rnacentral:tRNA from 1 species
AUGUAGUUAAGAGGCUUAAACACUCCACUGGAAAUGGAGAAAGGUGUAGGUUCAAUCCCUGACAU